AAAAAAUCUUUGAAGAUCCAGGCUCCUUCUAGCUCAUUACUGUAACAUUCCAAGGAUGUAGCUCUUGUCCUCACAUUCCAAGGUGGACACUAAGGCUCCAGCCAUCAUAUCUAAGGUCCAGUUAACAAGAUGGAGGAAGAGAUAAAGAAAGCACAUCGCCUCAUAGUCCAUGAUGGCUGUUUGAGCUCCAGCCAUGGUGUCUACCUUCCAGCAUCACAGAGGAGGGAAGAACAAAAGGGAGAGCUCCAGCAGUCUAUCCUCCUAUUCUGGAGCCUUGCCUUCCAACAUCUUUCUCCUACAUCUCAUCGGCCAGAACCCAGUCACAGAGCCACAUCUAGUGGCUGCUAACUUCCUGUCCCAAAUAGAGAAGAGGGGAGGACAGUCAUGCUGCUGUACCUGCCUGGCCAAUCCACAGCCAGUGAUGACUUCACCAUCCACUUCUGCUUCCAGGCAGCCCCCACUGCUAAAGAAAAUAACACGAUCAUGCUGGCACGCAACUCUGCAGACUUGUGGCUUCCAGCCACUGAGCCCCCACACGCCUGGACCAGGCCUCUUCCUCCCUUUUGCAUGCCCCAUGGCAGUUAUUCCAAGUAUUCAACCACUUUCCUCAAACACUCUUCCCACCCCUACCCCCUCCCUCCCUCCCUCUCAUCUGUCUUUAGACUUCCCUUUCAUUUCACUGAAGCUGCUCGCAAGCAGGGGUUGACUGCUGUCCUCUCUCCCCUGAAUCCCACAAUAAUACUCCACACAGAGCUGAGCACACAAUCAACAGAAAUAAACGGAUGAGAGCUAAGGUGCUAAUAACUAACAGCUUUGGCUAUACUCUGCGCCCAGGCAAUUCAUUUUUAACCAGAGCGUCAAUGCUUCACUCCAAAGAGGCUCCUGGGGGAAUGGAAAGUCCCAGGCAGGCUGGCUAGGGGUGGUUUCAGGGACAGUGGCCCCCGCAGCAAUCCAUCCUCACGGCAGCUGAUGGGCCUCAGACCGGAAGGCAGUUCCCCCUGAAGAAAGCUCAGCAUCGUUUGGCUCCAUCAGCCCCAUCUUACGCCAGUUCCCACGGGCACUGGGCACACCAUCCGCCUCCAAAAAGAAGAAAAAUGACUCAGGAGAGAAUGCUAGUAUUUUCCACGUUAAGGGGACGGGGUCCAUAUUCUUACCAAAAACGUCCCUUUGCAUUCCUGGCUGCUUCUGUGGAACAGUCUGGGUGCGAAUGUCCCCGGGUAUAGAGGUGGCUACCCCACUCUUCAAUAAACGGAGGGGAAGCGAAAGAAGAGCUGGCAAUGAAGGCC
rnacentral:lncRNA from 1 species